rnacentral:rRNA from 1 species
GAUGAACGCUGGCGGCGUGCUUAACACAUGCAAGUCGAGCGAAGCGCUCUGGAAGAUUCCUUCGGGAUGAUUCCUUAGUGACUUAGCGGCGGACGGGUGAGUAACGCGUGGGCAACCUGCCUUGUACAGGGGGAUAACAGUUAGAAAUGACUGCUAAUACCGCAUAAGCGCACAGCAUGGCAUCAUGCAGUGUGAAAAACUCCGGUGGUACAAGAUGGGCCCGCGUUGGAUUAGCUUGUUGGUGGGGUAACGGCCCACCAAGGCGACGAUCCAUAGCCGGACUGAGAGGUCGAACGGCCACAUUGGGACUGAGACACGGCCCAGACUCCUACGGGAGGCAGCAGUGGGGAAUAUUGCACAAUGGAGGAAACUCUGAUGCAGCGACGCCGCGUGAGUGAUGAAGUAUUUCGGUAUGUAAAGCUCUAUCAGCAGGAAGAAGACGACGUAC